rnacentral:rRNA from 1 species
CAAUAGCGUAUAUUAAAGUUGUUGCAGUUAAAAAGCUCGUAGUUGGAUUUCGGAGCCGACCGGGCGGUCUGUCGAGAGACACGCACUGCUCGGUGGCUCUUCCUCUCGGAGGCCCUGGCUGCCCUUAACUGGAGCGGGCAGGGGAUUCGGGACGUUUACUUUGAAAAAAUUAGAGUGUUCAAAGCAGGCCGGUGCUUGGAUACAUUAGCAUGGAAUAAUGGAAUAGGGCUUGGGUCCUAUUUUGUUGGUUUUCGGGACCGAGGUCAUGGUUAAGAGGGACAGUUGGGGGCAUUCGUAUUCAAUUGUCAGAGGUGAGAUUCUUGGAUUUAUGGAAGACGAACAACUGCGAAAGCAUUUGCCAAGGAUGUUUUCAUUAA